ACCACGACAAAGCAAUUACAACAUGCUCUGAAUGUUGAUGUGAUUGUGUACAGUACACUGCCAAAAAGCAUGUUUACACGUGUAGGAAUUAACCCAGUAUUAACAGUGUAAGCCUACCUGCAAUUCCACAAUAAAGCCACGAGGGGGUGCCAUCACACCACGACAAAGCAAUUACAACAUGCUCUGAAUGGUGAUGUGAUUGUGUACAGUACACUGCCAAAAAGCAUGUUUACACGUGUAGGAAUUAACCCAGUAUUAACAGUGUAAGCCUACCUGCAAUUCCACAACAAAGCCACGAGGGGGCGCCAUCACACCACAACAAAGCAACUAUAACAUGACAACAGGUGGGACUCUUGCUCCACCUCUCCCCCACAACUAGACACCCCUACAGGCAAACACACGCAUACGUAAGGCUUUUUACAUACCUCCCAGCAACGCAUCCGUCACCAGCAUCGCACGGACCGGCACGGGUCCACACGUUGAAGGAGGCAGAGAAGGCGGCCCUAGACAAACAGGGAUUACAAUCGCUGCCGGUGAAGAAAGUGACGCGUACCUGCUGAGGGCCGGCUCUGGGUUCUCGCGGGCUACAAAGACCUGGUCCAGGUGCUGCAACAGAGACAGGGAGCAACGCAUCCGUCACCAGCAUCGCACGGACCGGCACGGGUCCACACGUUGAAGGAGGCAGAGAAGGCGGCCCUAGACAAACAGGGAUUACAAUCGCUGCCGGUGAAGAAAGUGACGCGCACCUGCUGAGGGCCGGCUCUGGGUUCUCGCGGACUACAAAGACCUGGUCCAGGUGCUGCAACAGAGACAGGGAGCAACGCAUCCGUCACCAGCAUCGCACGGACCGGCACGGGUCCACACGUUGAAGGAGGCAGAGAAGGCGGCCCUAGACAAACAGGGAUUACAAUCGCUGCCGGUGAAGAAAGUGACGCGCACCCUGCUGAGGGCCGGCUCUGGGUUCUCGCGGACUAAAAGACCUGGUCCAGGUGCUGCAACAGAGACAGGGAGGUAAGACUGGGCUUCAUCUAUACCGGGCAACUUUCUGUAUUGUCUUUCAGUGUUGAUGUGAUUGUGUAUGUUGUUGUCUCUACCACUCCGAAUAGUUGAGCCCAACAUUGUGCUACUUACUGAUAUUUAUUAAUACUAUUUAAAAAAGAAAAAGAAAGAAAAAGGUGAAAAAUGGUAAGUUU
rnacentral:lncRNA from 1 species